rnacentral:rRNA from 1 species
UUAAGCGACUAAGCGUACACGGUGGAUGCCCUGGCAGUCAGAGGCGAUGAAGGACGUGCUAAUCUGCGAAAAGCGUCGGUAAGGUGAUAUGAACCGUUAUAGCCGGCGAUGUCCGAAUGGGGAAACCCAGUGCAAUUCGUUGCACUAUCGUUUGAUGAAUACAUAGUCAAACGAGGCGAACCGGGGGAACUGAAACAUCUAAGUACCCCGAGGAAAAGAAAUCAACCGAGAUUCCCCCAGUAGCGGCGAGCGAACGGGGAGCAGCCCGGAGUCUGAAUCAGCUUGUGUGUUAGUGGAAGCGUCUGGAAAGUCGCAGGGUACAGGGUGAUACUCCCGUACACUAAAGCACACAGGUUGUGAACUCGAAGAGUAGGGCGGGACACGUGGUAUCCUGUCUGAAUAUGGGGGGACCAUCCUCCAAGGCUAAAUACUCCUGACUGACCGAUAGUGAACCAGUACCGUGAGGGAAAGGCGAAAAGAACCCCGGCGAGGGGAGUGAAAAAGAACCUGAAACCGUGUACGUACAAGCAGUAGGAGCCUCUUUAUGGGGUGACUGCGUACCUUUUGUAUAAUGGGUCAGCGACUUAUAUUCUGUAGCAAGGUUAACCGUAUAGGGGAGCCGCAGGGAAACCGAGUCUUAACUGGGCGUUAAGUUGCAGGGUAUAGACCCGAAACCCGGUGAUCUAGCCAUGGGCAGGUUGAAGGUUGGGUAACACUAACUGGAGGACCGAACCGACUAAUGUUGAAAAAUUAGCGGAUGACUUGUGGCUGGGGGUGAAAGGCCAAUCAAACCGGGAGAUAGCUGGUUCUCCCCGAAAGCUAUUUAGGUAGCGCCUCGUGAACUCAUCUUCGGGGGUAGAGCACUGUUUCGGCUAGGGGGUCAUCCCGACUUACCAACCCGAUGCAAACUACGAAUACCGAAGAAUGUUAUCACGGGAGACACACGGCGGGUGCUAACGUCCGUCGUGAAGAGGGAAACAACCCAGACCGCCAGCUAAGGUCCCAAAGUCAUGGUUAAGUGGGAAACGAUGUGGGAAGGCCCAGACAGCCAGGAUGUUGGCUUAGAAGCAGCCAUCAUUUAAAGAAAGCGUAAUAGCUCACUGGUCGAGUCGGCCUGCGCGGAAGAUGUAACGGGGCUAAACCAUGCACCGAAGCUGCGGCAGCGACACUAUGUGUUGUUGGGUAGGGGAGCGUUCUGUAAGCCGUUGAAGGUGGCCUGUGAGGGUUGCUGGAGGUAUCAGAAGUGCGAAUGCUGACAUAAGUAACGAUAAUGCGGGUGAAAAACCCGCACGCCGGAAGACCAAGGGUUCCUGUCCAACGUUAAUCGGGGCAGGGUGAGUCGACCCCUAAGGCGAGGCCGAAAGGCGUAGUCGAUGGGAAACAGGUUAAUAUUCCUGUACUCGGUGUUACUGCGAAGGGGGGACGGAGAAGGCUAUGUUGGCCGGGCGACGGUUGUCCCGGUUUAAGCAUGUAGGCGGAUGUUCCAGGUAAAUCCGGAACGUUACUAACGCUGAGGUGUGAUGACGAGGCACUACGGUGCUGAAGUGACAAAUGCCCUGCUUCCAGGAAAAGCCUCUAAGCAUCAGGUAACAUCAAAUCGUACCCCAAACCGACACAGGUGGUCAGGUAGAGAAUACCAAGGCGCUUGAGAGAACUCGGGUGAAGGAACUAGGCAAAAUGGUGCCGUAACUUCGGGAGAAGGCACGCUGAUAUGUAGGUGAAGUGGUUUACCCAUGGAGCUGAAAUCAGUCGAAGAUACCAGCUGGCUGCAACUGUUUAUUAAAAACACAGCACUGUGCAAACACGAAAGUGGACGUAUACGGUGUGACGCCUGCCCGGUGCCGGAAGGUUAAUUGAUGGGGUUAUCCGUAAGGAGAAGCUCUUGAUCGAAGCCCCGGUAAACGGCGGCCGUAACUAUAACGGUCCUAAGGUAGCGAAAUUCCUUGUCGGGUAAGUUCCGACCUGCACGAAUGGCGUAAUGAUGGCCAGGCUGUCUCCACCCGAGACUCAGUGAAAUUGAACUCGCUGUGAAGAUGCAGUGUACCCGCGGCAAGACGGAAAGACCCCGUGAACCUUUACUAUAGCUUGACACUGAACACUGGUCCUUGAUGUGUAGGAUAGGUGGGAGGCUUUGAAGCGUGGACGCCAGUCUGCGUGGAGCCAUCCUUGAAAUACCACCCUUUAAUGGCUGGUGUUCUAACGUGGGCCCGUUAUCCGGGUUGCGGACAGUGUCUGGUGGGUAGUUUGACUGGGGCGGUCUCCUCCUAAAGAGUAACGGAGGAGCACGAAGGUCAGCUAAUCCUGGUCGGACAUCAGGAGGUUAGUGCAAUGGCAUAAGCUGGCUUGACUGCGAGCGUGACGGCGCGAGCAGGUGCGAAAGCAGGUCAUAGUGAUCCGGUGGUUCUGAAUGGAAGGGCCAUCGCUCAACGGAUAAAAGGUACUCCGGGGAUAACAGGCUGAUACCGCCCAAGAGUUCAUAUCGACGGCGGUGUUUGGCACCUCGAUGUCGGCUCAUCACAUCCUGGGGCUGAAGUAGGUCCCAAGGGUAUGGCUGUUCGCCAUUUAAAGUGGUACGCGAGCUGGGUUUAGAACGUCGUGAGACAGUUCGGUCCCUAUCUGCCGUGGGCGCUGGAGAAUUGAGGGGGGCUGCUCCUAGUACGAGAGGACCGGAGUGGACGCAUCACUGGUGUUCGGGUUGUCAUGCCAAUGGCAUUGCCCGGUAGCUAAAUGCGGAAGAGAUAAGUGCUGAAAGCAUCUAAGCACGAAACUUGCCCCGAGAUGAGUUCUCCCUGACUCCUUGAGAGUCCUGAAGGAACGUUGAAGACGACGACGUUGAUAGGCCGGGUGUGUAAGCGCAGCGAUGCGUUGAGCUAACCGGUACUAAUGAACCGUGAGGCUUAACCUU